ACGCGAGCUUCCCAAGCUUACGUUGCGGGUUCGAUUCCCGCUACCC
rnacentral:tRNA from 16 species